CCUUGCUGCAGCACUGCCAUUUGUUGAGAAGCUCAGCUGUCCCCUCUCCAGGACACCGGGACUCUUACCAGAGACCAUACUCAGGGAGCGUCCAUGCAGCACCCCACCCCGCUGACAGGAGCGAUUGACUCUUCCACAGUGAAUGUAUCCAGAGCCUCUGUUGUCUUAGCUGUGCUUGAAAUGCAAAUUCCCAGGUGUCCUGUGUGCAAGCACAUUGGGAGGGUGCUGCAUGACCCCCCAGCUGCUUGCCAACCACCAGGGCACUGACUGUGAAGGCCAGGCAGUGUUACAGUGCCGCAGGUGCUGUGUCUCCCCAUGCACACUGAACUCUGCCCUCAGUGCAGGGGCUGGGGGGUCUGAACAGAACAGCGUCGCUUCUCUGAGACAGAGUGGCCAGCGGGCUGUCCUUCACCGUGCAUGCAGUCCACAGCCAGCACAGGCCCCACCAGGCCCAGCCAGGCUGCCCGACCUCAGGCCUAGCCUCUUCCGUCCGAGCUCUGACAGGCCUGCCCCAGGCGACUGGGUGAGCUGUCUCAGCCAGCAGCCCCGCUGCCUUAGCCGUGAUCUGUCCUUGCCGCAGUGGCCCAGUUGGUGGCCAGGGGACCGUUGGAAAAUGCUGGCUCACGGUGAUCGGAUGGCCCUGGGGACAGCAGGCUAUUUUCAAGGAAGGAACCAGACUAGCCAAGAGCCUGUUUAUCCUUGGACCAGGCCACCGGUCACCUGCAGAAGAGUGGCAGGCGGGCCCAUGUGCUGUCCCCAGUCCUGUCCUGUGACUUGAGGAACCCACAGUCUGGCGCUGGAAGGACAGUGCGGGAGGAGCAGUCCUUUGUCCGGCC
rnacentral:lncRNA from 1 species